AGUUUACUGAGGCGCUGAAGAGUCAUUGGGAUCAAAGGGCCAUGGGGUUUCUAAUCUGUAAUGGAUAUGUCUGCAGCUGAUUUCUAUGGGCAUCUUUAAUGCAAUGUGGGGUUUGGUGGUUGAUAUUAGUGGGAGGCAGGGCAAGACUGAAAUUUGUAUUUUAAAGCAGAGGAAGAGGACAGGCACCUCAGAAAAGAAAACGAAAUUCACCAAGGCGAUUGAAUAUUUUAGCAAACCUAUGUGAGCUCUACAUGGACAUCUUCAGUACCUCCUCUUUGGGACCUGCUUCCCACUUACACACCCGUGGUCAUUAAACAGUCUGGCUUCAGUUUUCGGCCACAUCUGGCAAACUCUAGAUUAGCCCUGAGCUAACAUCUGCCACCAGUCCUCCUCUUUUUGCUGAGGAAGAUGCCCUGAGCUAACAUCCAUGCCCAUCUUCCUCUACUUUAUAUGUGGGAUGCGUGCCACAGCAUGGCUUGAUAAGCUGUUCAUAGGUCUGCACCUAGGAUCCGAAGCAGCUAACCCUGGACUGCCAAAGCGGAACAUGUGAACUUAACAACUGUGCCACUGGGCUGGCCUCUCAAUGAUCUGAGAACCAUCUCUUUGAAAUGUGAUCAUCAAGGAAGAUAGUGCCCCCAUCUCCCAGUUUCUGUGGGCAGCUAAGAGCCCAACCUUGGACAUGUUGCAAAACUACCUCAUUAUAAAGAUUUUGAACUUAUGAAGAGAAUCUAUCCAUCAUCCUUAUGUGAGGAAGAAACUAUUGGUUACUUGGGACAAGACUUCUUGAAAUGAAAUAGUAUAAUACGGCAAAGCCCCAGAGAAGAGGUUUCACUGAAAAAAGUUAAACUGAUCUCUGGCAUCAGAGAUGAAAGCUGAUGUGAAAUGAGCAUGUUUGAAGCUCUUCCUAAGGGGCUGCAGAUGUUUGCAUGCAACCUGCUGCACAUGGGUGUAAGAAAGACCUACUUGGCCCUCCAGACCUAGUAGAUUUGCAGCGGGGACACACUGGGGUGAAGUGGUCUGUGUGACUGCCUGUGUGCUGACUGCAAAGGGAAGGCCUGAGAGGUGCCUCUGUGUCUCAGCAGAGAGCUAAGAGUUCGCCUGACCAACUAGAACAAAAGCAUGUGGCCCCCUCCACUUGUCGGUUUGCCGCUGCUUGAGAGGCCCCGACAGUCCAACCUGUAUGAGUGCUGUGGGAUCCCAAAUUGUGAAUAAGCAAAAGAAAAGUAGCAAUCAUAAUCAAAGUAACUUGAGGGAUGAAGACCAAGUCAGAAACCUACACAAGUGGGACCUGCUGAGGCAGAAGUGAUGAAAGAAGCAGAGGAGAAUUUCCAGAAAAAUAUUAAUAACAUUCAAAGAGAGGCACUUAUACUCAACCCUUCCUCCAAAAUCCUUCAGGAAUCAGAAAAUAUGAAUUCCAAAUUAAAAUAAAUCAUUAUACAAACAAACGAAAAAAGACUAUGAUUACUGUUGAGGAAGAAAUGUCACCAAUGUGAAAGAAAUAUGAAGUAUGAAAAUCAUGAGUAAAGAACUUUAGAGCAGAAUCUCCCAACUGUUGGUCUUUGCCACAUUGUGGAGCAGCUGAUGGGGUACACAUGUGCUGAAAUAUUGACUCCCCACAAGCAGUGGGUCAGCUGUGAUGGGCCUCUGGUGGCUCAGGUGCCCAGACUGCUACCAUGAGCAGCCUACUUCAUUUGCCACUGCUGCUGUGAAAAAGAAAUGAAAGAGGUUGGGAGCUCUGCUUUAGAAGCUAGAUCCAGAGAGCACCUGUGUGAAUAACUGAAGUUCUAAAAGGAGAACAGAAACAUAGAGGAG
rnacentral:lncRNA from 1 species